rnacentral:rRNA from 1 species
ACGGGAGGCAGCAGUGGGGGAUAUUGCACAAUGGGGGAAACCCUGAUGCAGCGACGCCGCGUGAGUGAUGAAGUAUUUCGGUAUGUAAAGCUCUAUCAGCAGGGAAGAAAAUGACGGUACCUGACUAAGAAGCUCCGGCUAAAUACGUGCCAGCAGCCGCGGUAAUACGUAUGGCGCAAGCGUUAUCCGGAUUUACUGGGUGUAAAGGGAGCGUAGACGGCGUGGCAAGUCUGAUGUGAAAGCUAUGGGCUCAACCCAUAAACUGCAUUGGAAACUGUCAUGCUAGAGGGUCGGAGAGGUAAGCGGAAUUCCUAGUGUAGCGGUGAAAUGCGUAGAUAUUAGGAGGAACACCAGUGGCGAAGGCGGCUUACUGGACGAUAACUGACGUUGAGGCUCGAAAGCGUGGGGAGCAAACAGGAUUAGAUACCCUGGUA